GACGAACGCUGGCGGCGUGCUUAACACAUGCAAGUCGAGCGGUAAGGCCUCUUCGGGUGUAUCCGAGCGGCGAACGGGUGCGUAACACGUGGGUGACCUGCCCUCAGCUCUGUGAUAUGCCUGGUAAACUGGGUCUACUACCGGAUAUGACCUUUCCUCGCAUGGGGUUUGGUGGAAAGUUUUUUCGGCGGGGGAUGGUGCCGCGGCCUAUCAGCUUGUUGGGGGGGUGAUGGCCUACCGAGGCGACGACGGGUAGCAGGCCUGAGAGGGCGACCGGCCAAACUGGGACGGAGACACGGCCCAGACUCCUACGGGAGGGAGCAGUGGGGAAAAGUGCGCAAUGGGCGGAAGCCUGACGCAGCGACGGCGCGUGGGGGAUGACGGCCGUCGGGGUGUAAAACUAGUUCGACCCCGACGAAUUGGGACGGUAGGGGUAGAAGAAGCACCGGCUAACUACGUG
rnacentral:rRNA from 1 species